AAUAGUGGACAAUGUGGGGAACCCUGAUCCAGCCAUGCCGCGUGAGUGAAUAAGGUCUUCGGAUUGUAAAGCACUUUAAGUGGGGAGGAAGAGUUGUAGGCUAAUACCUUGCAAUUUUGACGUUACCAACAGAAUAAGCACCGGCUAACUUCGUGCCGGCAGCCGCGGUAAUACGAAGGGUGCAAGCGUUAAUCGGAAUUACUGGGCGUAAAGCGCGCGUAGGUGGUUCAGUAAGAUGGAAGUGAAAUCCCCGGGCUUAACCUGGGAACUGCUUUCAUAACUGCUGAGCUAGAGUACGGUAGAGGGUAGUGGAAUUUCCUGUGUAGCGGUGAAAUGCGUAGAUAUAGGAAGGAACACCAGUGGCGAAGGCGACCACCUGGGCUAAUACUGACACUGAGGUGCGAAAGCGUGGGGAGCAAACAGG
rnacentral:rRNA from 1 species